CCUACGGGUGGCAGCAGUAGGGAAUCUUUCACAAUGGGCGAAAGCCUGAUGGAGCAACGCCGCGUGCAGGAUGAAGGCCUUCGGGUUGUAAACUGCUUUUAUAAGCGAGAAAUAUGAUGGUAACUUAUGAAUAAGGAUCGGCUAACUACGUGCCAGCAGCCGCGGUCAUACGUAGGAUCCGAGCAUUAUCCGGAGUGACUGGGUGUAAAGAGUUGCGUAGGUGGCAUAAUAAGUAGCUAGUGAAAUCUGGUGGCUCAACCAUUCAGACUAUUAGCUAAACUGUUAAGCUCGAGACCGUUAGGGGUAACUGGAAUGUGUAGUGUAGGAGUGAAAUCCGUAGAUAUUAGAAGGAACACCGAUAGCGUAGGCAGGUUGCUGGGACGGUUCUGACACUAAGGCACGAAAGCGUAGGGAGCAAACGGGAUUAGAUACCCGAGUAGUC
rnacentral:rRNA from 1 species